UGAAGUAAAAGUCGUAACAAGGCAUAUCAAUAAGCGGAGGACUCCGUAGGUGAACCUGCGGAAGGAUCAUUA
rnacentral:rRNA from 1 species